UUAAGCGACUAAGCGUACACGGUGGAUGCCCUGGCAGUCAGAGGCGAUGAAGGACGUGCUAAUCUGCGAUAAGCGUCGGUAAGGUGAUAUGAACCGUUAUAACCGGCGAUUUCCGAAUGGGGAAACCCAGUGUGAUUCGUCACACUAUCAUUAACUGAAUCCAUAGGUUAAUGAGGCGAACCGGGGGAACUGAAACAUCUAAGUACCCCGAGGAAAAGAAAUCAACCGAGAUUCCCCCAGUAGCGGCGAGCGAACGGGGAGCAGCCCAGAGCCUGAAUCAGUGUGUGUGUUAGUGGAAGCGUCUGGAAAGGCGCGCGAUACAGGGUGACAGCCCCGUACACAAAAAUGCACAUGCUGUGAGCUCGAUGAGUAGGGCGGGACACGUGGUAUCCUGUCUGAAUAUGGGGGGACCAUCCUCCAAGGCUAAAUACUCCUGACUGACCGAUAGUGAACCAGUACCGUGAGGGAAAGGCGAAAAGAACCCCGGCGAGGGGAGUGAAAAAGAACCUGAAACCGUGUACGUACAAGCAGUGGGAGCACAGAGCAAUCUGUGUGACUGCGUACCUUUUGUAUAAUGGGUCAGCGACUUAUAUUCUGUAGCAAGGUUAACCGAAUAGGGGAGCCGAAGGGAAACCGAGUCUUAACUGGGCGUUAAGUUGCAGGGUAUAGACCCGAAACCCGGUGAUCUAGCCAUGGGCAGGUUGAAGGUUGGGUAACACUAACUGGAGGACCGAACCGACUAAUGUUGAAAAAUUAGCGGAUGACUUGUGGCUGGGGGUGAAAGGCCAAUCAAACCGGGAGAUAGCUGGUUCUCCCCGAAAGCUAUUUAGGUAGCGUCUCGUGAAUUCAUCUCCGGGGGUAGAGCACUGUUUCGGCAAGGGGGUCAUCCCGACUUACCAACCCGAUGCAAACUGCGAAUACCGGAGAAUGUUAUCACGGGAGACACACGGCGGGUGCUAACGUCCGUCGUGAAGAGGGAAACAACCCAGACCGCCAGCUAAGGUCCCAAAGUCAUGGUUAAGUGGGAAACGAUGUGGGAAGGCCCAGACAGCCAGGAUGUUGGCUUAGAAGCAGCCAUCAUUUAAAGAAAGCGUAAUAGCUCACUGGUCGAGUCGGCCUGCGCGGAAGAUGUAACGGGGCUAAACCAUGCACCGAAGCUGCGGCAGCGACGCUGAUGCGUUGUUGGGUAGGGGAGCGCUCUGUAAGCCUGCGAAGGUGUGCUGUGAGGCAUGCUGGAGGUAUCAGAAGUGCGAAUGCUGACAUAAGUAACGAUAAAGCGGGUGAAAAGCCCGCUCGCCGGAAGACCAAGGGUUCCUGUCCAACGUUAAUACGGGGCAGGGUGAGUCGACCCCUAAGGCGAGGCCGAAAGGCGUAGUCGAUGGGAAACAGGUUAAUAUUCCUGUACUUGGUGUUACUGCGAAGGGGGGACGGAGAAGGCUAUGUUGGCCGGGCGACGGUUGUCCCGGUUUAAGCGUGUAGGCUGGUUUUCCAGGCAAAUCCGGAAAAUCAAGGCUGAGGCGUGAUGACGAGGCACUACGGUGCUGAAGCAACAAAUGCCCUGCUUCCAGGAAAAGCCUCUAAGCAUCAGGUAACAUCAAAUCGUACCCCAAACCGACACAGGUGGUCAGGUAGAGAAUACCAAGGCGCUUGAGAGAACUCGGGUGAAGGAACUAGGCAAAAUGGUGCCGUAACUUCGGGAGAAGGCACGCUGAUAUGUAGGUGAAGUCCCUCGCGGAUGGAGCUGAAAUCAGUCGAAGAUACCAGCUGGCUGCAACUGUUUAUUAAAAACACAGCACUGUGCAAACACGAAAGUGGACGUAUACGGUGUGACGCCUGCCCGGUGCCGGAAGGUUAAUUGAUGGGGUCAGCGCAAGCGAAGCUCUUGAUCGAAGCCCCGGUAAACGGCGGCCGUAACUAUAACGGUCCUAAGGUAGCGAAAUUCCUUGUCGGGUAAGUUCCGACCUGCACGAAUGGCGUAAUGAUGGCCAGGCUGUCUCCACCCGAGACUCAGUGAAAUUGAACUCGCUGUGAAGAUGCAGUGUACCCGCGGCAAGACGGAAAGACCCCGUGAACCUUUACUAUAGCUUGACACUGAACAUUGAGCCUUGAUGUGUAGGAUAGGGGGAGGCUUUGAAGUGUGGACGCCAGUCUGCAUGGAGCCGGCCUUGAAAUACCACCCUUUAAUGUUUGAUGUUCUAACGUUGACCCGUAAUCCGGGUUGCGGACAGUGUCUGGUGGGUAGUUUGACUGGGGCGGUCUCCUCCUAAAGAGUAACGGAGGAGCACGAAGGUUGGCUAAUCCUGGUCGGACAUCAGGAGGUUAGUGCAAUGGCAUAAGCCAGCUUGACUGCGAGCGUGACGGCGCGAGCAGGUGCGAAAGCAGGUCAUAGUGAUCCGGUGGUUCUGAAUGGAAGGGCCAUCGCUCAACGGAUAAAAGGUACUCCGGGGAUAACAGGCUGAUACCGCCCAAGAGUUCAUAUCGACGGCGGUGUUUGGCACCUCGAUGUCGGCUCAUCACAUCCUGGGGCUGAAGUAGGUCCCAAGGGUAUGGCUGUUCGCCAUUUAAAGUGGUACGCGAGCUGGGUUUAGAACGUCGUGAGACAGUUCGGUCCCUAUCUGCCGUGGGCGCUGGAGAACUGAGGGGGGCUGCUCCUAGUACGAGAGGACCGGAGUGGACGCAUCACUGGUGUUCGGGUUGUCAUGCCAAUGGCACUGCCCGGUAGCUAAAUGCGGAAGAGAUAAGUGCUGAAAGCAUCUAAGCACGAAACUUGCCCCGAGAUGAGUUCUCCCUGACUCCUUGAGAGUCCUGAAGGAACGUUGAAGACGACGACGUUGAUAGGCCGGGUGUGUAAGCGCAGCGAUGCGUUGAGCUAACCGGUACUAAUGAACCGUGAGGCUUAACCUU
rnacentral:rRNA from 1 species